GGUUGAUCCUGCCAGUAGUCUAUGCUUGUCUCAAAGAUUAAGCCAUGCAUGUGUCAGUAUAAGGGAUUUAUCCCGAAACUGCGAACGGCUCAUUAAAUCAGUUAUCGUUUACUCGGUGUAAGUGAAGCUUCGGCUUGACGGAUAACUGUGGGAAACCUAUAGCUAAUACGUAAAGAAGGUGGUAAAACACCCGUCCUUGCCAUUUUUCGGAAUGGAGGAGGAAGAGUUUAUUAGUCUUAUAUCCAUUACCUUCGGGUAGUGGAGGGAAUCAACCACAGUUUGGUGAAUCACAA
rnacentral:rRNA from 1 species